CAAGUCGGGAACUGUUGUUGUCCAGAAAGGAGCGGGCACAGAAAUCGCUGCCUUUCUCUAUGUUUAUUUUGGAAGACAGUUAUUUUAGGGAAAAUGUUACUUACGUUAAGGUGCAGCGACACCUCAGUGGUUUCCAGGGCCGUGAGGAGAUUCUGAGCUCAGAAAGCCCCAGAGGCGGGGACUGGGUGACCGCAUCUCUGCAGCCAGGCGACGGCCUGUUGAUUCCACGGCUCCGAUGCUGACACAGCGGGCUUGUGACCCUGAGCAAAUCACCUAUCCUUUUUGUGCCAUGGCUUCCGUGUUUUGGGCACAGUAAUAAAAUCCACCCGUUAGAGUUGAUGCGAGGUUAAAUGCGUGACAGGCAUGGCAUUUAGCAUGACGCUUGGGACAUAGCAGAGGCUCUGCCAAUAUUCACUGUCAGUUUUACUACUGUUGCUGUUCUAGUGGACCUGCUCAUGUAGAGGAAGGACAGCACGGCAGGUGCGGAGCUGGUGAGGAACCGGGAGCGUGGCUGCCUUGUCCCUCCUGGGCCUGUUCCUGGCCCUGGCUCACGUCUGUGUGCACAGAGGCGACCUCACUUUGCUGUCCUGCAGUCGAGAGGCUUCAAGCGCCGUCCAACACUGCUUCCAACAACUGUCGAAGUGACAUCCCACCAUGGAGAAGGACAGAGAAAUGAGUGAUUCAACCAUGCUGAAGGCCAACAGCAUCACCAGGAUUCCCUGUGACAGAAGAGAAGAAGACGCGAGGCGCCGUGGACUAGCACAGAGGAAGGUUUUAUUUUGGCUUCUGGUUUCACAGGCUCCAGUCCAUGACGGGACCCAAGUCCUGGACACAGGGAACAGUAUUCGGAACUCAUUUAGUAGCUGAGACUCCAGGGAAGUCUGGUCAUGGGGUUUCUCCUUUUCCCUCUGAGUCAAGGUCAACUCACACCCAGGACUUGGAAGAAUCCUUGACACGUUGGAUGUGAUCUUGCAACUGAAGCAAGGAAAAUACACUCUGGAAAAGGGUCAUCAUCGCGCAGACUUGGGACACAGCAGGCACUGGGGGAGACGCAGCACACUCACCCCAGGGUUGGUGGCACAGACCUGUGUGUACCAGAAGGCAGAAGCACGGGCGGCCACCAGGAGCUCCAGCACCAUGAGGCUGAGCAUCGCCAGGAGCACGCCCUGCGGUGGGGACAGGGAGGUUCAGACCCAAACUGGCAGCCUGCGCCAGACCCGGACAAGGCCAGCUGAAGCCUCCAUCAGCAGAGACGGCGGAACAGUGGGAUCUGCCUGGCCCUCGCCUCUGCUUCCCCUUCCACCCUUCUCUGCAGAGGGAGGGACAGGAUACUUAGCCCCAAACUGUUUACUGUUGGACUGAAGUCAGGCAGGACACAAUCCUCCAGUUCAUAGAUUGAGUAGCAGUACUCUGAAUAAGGCAAUGAAGAGAGAUACGCCCAUCCCAUUCUGAACUACCAGACGGAGUGGCAGGCCCCAAGGCCGCCAGGCUGCACGUGAGGAGGAAGAUGCCCGGCCCAGCACAGCAGAACUCACUGCAUUUGAGGUCAGGCUGCUCCUGGCCGGGAAGAGAAAUCCCGCUUUAGACUCCUGAUGGCUGUGUCCAGAUGUCCCCCAAAGCCUCAAGCAGUCUUGGUUGGGGCUUUUUCAGAGGUGGCUGAAUCCAGAG
ensembl:lncRNA